ACGGGGGUUGGCCAAUUCCAUGGUUUCUAGAGAAAAAUAAUGAGGGGUGUCACGGGGUAUGACUAUAUAGGUCUUGUAGAGGAGAAACAGGCGCAUCAUUUGCGCAAGGUAUCGAAGGGCGCUAUGUUCAAAAAUCUGAAACUAGAGCUCAAAAUUUGAAAAAUAAAUUGUUAAAAACAGGGGGGUUGGCCUAUUCCAUGGCUUCUUGAGAAAAAUAAUGAGGGGUGUCACGGGGUAUGACUAUAUAGGUCUUGUAGAGGAGAAACAGGCGCAUCUUUUGCGCAAGGUAUCGAAGGGCGCUAUGUUCAAAAAUCUGAAACUAGAGCUCAAAAUUUAAAAAAAAUUGUUAAAAACAGGAGGAAUGGCCUAUUCCAUGGCUUCUAGAGAAAAAUAAUGAGGGGUGUCACGGGGUAUGACUAUAUAGGUCUUGUAGAGGAGAAACAAGCGCAUCUUUUGCGCAAGGUAACGAAGGGCACUAUGUUCAAAAAUCUGAAACUAGAGCUCAAAAUUUGAAAAAAAUAAUAUUAAAAACAGGGGGUUGGCCUAUUCCAUGGCUUCUAGAGAAAAAUAAUGAAGGAUGUCACGGGGUAUGACUAUAUAGGUCUUGUAGAGGAGAAACAGGCGCAUCUCUUGCGCAAGAUAUCGAAGGGCGCUAUGUUCAAAAAUCUGAAACUAGAGCUCAAAAUUUGAAAAAUAAAUUGUUAAAAACAGGGGGGUUGGCCUAUUCCAUGGCUUCCAAAGAAAAAUAAUGAGGGGUGUCACGGGGUAUGACUAUAUAGGUCUUGUAGAGGAGAAACAGGCGCAUCUUUUGCGCAAGGUAUCGAAGGGCGCUAUGUUCAAAAAUCUGAUACUAGAGCUCAAAAUUUAAAAAAAAUUGUUAAAAACAGGGGGAAUGGCCUAUUCCAUGGCUUCUACAGAAAAAUAAUGAGGGGUGUCACGGGUUAUGACUAUAUAGGUCUUGUAGAGGAGAAACAAGCGCAUCUUUUGCGCAAGGUAACGAAGGGCGCUAUGUUCAAAAAGCUGAAACUAGAGCUCAAAAUUUGAAAAAAAUAAUAUUAAAAACAGGGGGUUGGCCUAUUCCAUGGCUUCUAGAGAAAAAUAAUGAAGGAUGUCACGGGGUAUGACUAUAUAGGUCUUGUAGAGGAGAAACAGGCGCAUCUCUUGCGCAAGAUAUCGAAGGGCGCUAUGUUCAAAAAUCUGAAACUAGAGCUCAAAAUUUGAAAAAAAUUUGUUAAAAACAGGGGGGUUGGCCUAUUCCAUGGUUUCUAGAGAAAAAUAAUGAGGGGUGUCACGGGGUAUGACUAUAUAGGUCUUGAAGAAGAGAAACAGGCGCAUCUUUUGCGCAAGGUAUCGAAGGGCGCUAUGUUCAAAAAUCUGAAACUAGAGCUCAAAAUUUGAAAAAAAAUGUUAAAAACAGGGGGGUUGGCCUAUUCUAUGGCUUCUAGAGAAAAAUAAUGAGGGAUGUCACGGGGUAUGACUAUAUAGGUCUUGUAGAGGAGAAACAGGCGCAUCUCUUGUGCGAGGUAUCGAAGGGCGCUAUGUUCAAAAAUCUGAAACUAGAGCUCAAAAUUUGAAAAAAAAUUGUUAAAAACACGGGGGUUGGCCAAUUCCAUGGUUUCUAGAGAAAAAUAAUGAGGAGUGUCACGGGGUAUGACUAUAUAGGUCUUGUAGAGGAGAAACAAGCGCAUCUUUUGCGCAAGGUAACGAAGGGCGCUAUGUUCAAAAAUCUGAAACUAGAGCUCAAAAUUUGAAAAAAAUAAUAUUAAAAACAGGGGGUUGGCCUAUUCCAUGGCUUCUAGAGAAAAAUAAUGAAGGAUGUCACGGGGUAUGACUAUAUAGGUCUUGUAGAGGAGAAACAGGCGCAUCUCUUGCGCAAGAUAUCGAAGGGCGCUAUGUUCAAAAAUCUGAAACUAGAGCUCAAAAUUUGAAAAAAAAAUUGUUAAAACAGGGGGUUGGCCUUUUCAAUGCUUCUAGGGAAAAAUAAUGAGGGGUGUCACGGGGUAUGACUAUAUAGGUCUUGUAGGAGAGAAACAGGCGCAUCUUUUGCGCAAGGUAUCGAAGGGCGCUAUGUUAAAAAAUCUGAAACUAGAGCUCAAAAUUUGAAAAAAAUUUGUUAAAAACAGGGGGGUUGGCCUAUUCCAUGGUUUCUAGAGAAAAAUAAUGAGGGGUGUCACGGGGUAUGACUAUAUAGGUCUUGUAGAAGAGAAACA